CCUACGGGAGGCAGCAGUGAGGAAUAUUGGUCAAUGGACGCAAGUCUGAACCAGCCAUGCCGCGUGCAGGAAGACGGCUCUAUGAGUUGUAAACUGCUUUUGUACGAGGGUAAACGCAGAUACGCGUAUCUGUCUGAAAGUAUCGUACGAAUAAGGAUCGGCUAACUCCGUGCCAGCCGCCGCGGUAAUACGGAGGAUUCAAGCGUUAUCCGGAUUUAUUGGGUUGAAAGGGUGCGUAGGCGGUCGGAUAAGUUAGAGGUGAAAUCCCGAGGCUCAACUUCGGAAUUGCCUCUGAUACUGUUCGGCUAGAGAGUAGUUGCGGUAGGCGGAAUGUAUGGUGUAGCGGUGAAAUGCUUAGAGAUCAUACAGAACACCGAUUGCGAAGGCAGCUUACCAAGCUACUUCUGACGUUGAGGCACGAAAGCGUGGGGAGCAAACAGGAUUAGAUACCCCAGUAGUC
rnacentral:rRNA from 1 species